rnacentral:rRNA from 1 species
ACGAACGCUGGCGGCGUGCCUAAUACAUGCAAGUAGAACGCUGAAGAGAGGAGCUUGCUCUUCUUGGAUGAGUUGCGAACGGGUGAGUAACGCGUAGGUAACCUGCCUUGUAGCGGGGGAUAACUAUUGGAAACGAUAGCUAAUACCGCAUAACAAUGGAUGACACAUGUCAUUUAUUUGAAAGGGGCAAUUGUUCCACUACAAGAUGGACCUGCGUUGUAUUAGCUAGUAGGUGAGGUAAUGGCUCACCUAGGCGACGAUACAUAGCCGACCUGAGAGGGUGAUCGGCCACACUGGGACUGAGACACGGCCCAGACUCCUACGGGAGGCAGCAGUAGGGAAUCUUCGGCAAUGGGGGCAACCCUGACCGAGCAACGCCGCGUGAGUGAAGAAGGUUUUCGGAUCGUAAAGCUCUGUUGUAAGUCAAGAACGGGUGUGAGAGUGGACAGUUCACACUGUGACGGUAGCUUACCAGAAAGGGACGGCUAACUACGUGCCAGCAGCCGCGGUAAUACGUAGGUCCCGAGCGUUGUCCGGAUUUAUUGGGCGUAAAGCGAGCGCAGGCGGUUUGAUAAGUCUGAAGUUAAAGGCUGUGGCUCAACCAUAGUUCGCUUUGGAAACUGUCAAACUUGAGUGCAGAAGGGGAGAGUGGAAUUCCAUGUGUAGCGGUGAAAUGCGUAGAUAUAUGGAGGAACACCGGUGGCGAAAGCGGCUCUCUGGUCUGUAACUGACGCUGAGGCUCGAAAGCGUGGGGAGCGAACAGGAUUAGAUACCCUGGUAGUCCACGCCGUAAACGAUGAGUGCUAGGUGUUGGAUCCUUUCCGGGAUUCAGUGCCGCAGCUAACGCAUUAAGCACUCCGCCUGGGGAGUACGACCGCAAGGUUGAAACUCAAAGGAAUUGACGGGGGCCCGCACAAGCGGUGGAGCAUGUGGUUUAAUUCGAAGCAACGCGAAGAACCUUACCAGGUCUUGACAUCCCGAUGCUAUUUCUAGAGAUAGAAAGUUACUUCGGUACAUCGGUGACAGGUGGUGCAUGGUUGUCGUCAGCUCGUGUCGUGAGAUGUUGGGUUAAGUCCCGCAACGAGCGCAACCCCUAUUGUUAGUUGCCAUCAUUCAGUUGGGCACUCUAGCGAGACUGCCGGUAAUAAACCGGAGGAAGGUGGGGAUGACGUCAAAUCAUCAUGCCCCUUAUGACCUGGGCUACACACGUGCUACAAUGGUUGGUACAACGAGUUGCGAGUCGGUGACGGCGAGCUAAUCUCUUAAAGCCAAUCUCAGUUCGGAUUGUAGGCUGCAACUCGCCUACAUGAAGUCGGAAUCGCUAGUAAUCGCGGAUCAGCACGCCGCGGUGAAUACGUUCCCGGGCCUUGUACACACCGCCCGUCACACCACGAGAGUUUGUAACACCCGAAGUCGGUGAGGUAACCUUUUGGAGCCAGCCGCCUAAGGUGGGACAGAUGAUUGGGGUG